AUCCAGCUAACGAGUCCCAAAUAGGACGAAGUGCGCAUCAAACUGGAU
rfam:Schistosoma margrebowiei strain Zambia genome assembly, scaffold: SMRZ_contig0007765